rnacentral:rRNA from 1 species
AUGCAAGUCGAGGGGCAGCAUGGUCUUAGCUUGCUAAGGCCGAUGGCGACCGGCGCACGGGUGAGUAGCACGUAUCCAACCUGCCGUCUACUCUUGGACAGCCUUCUGAAAGGAAGAUUAAUACAAGAUGGCAUCAUGAGUCCGCAUGUUCACAUGAUUAAAGGUAUUCCGGUAGACGAUGGGGAUGCGUUCCAUUAGAUAGUAGGCGGGGUAACGGCCCACCUAGUCUUCGAUGGAUAGGGGUUCUGAGAGGAAGGUCCCCCACAUUGGAACUGAGACACGGUCCAAACUCCUACGGGAGGCAGCAGUGAGGAAUAUUGGUCAAUGGGCGAGAGCCUGAACCAGCCAAGUAGCGUGAAGGAUGACUGCCCUAUGGGUUGUAAGCUUCUUUUAUAAAGGAAUAAAGUCGGGUAUGCAUACCCGUUUGCAUGUACUUUAUGAAUAAGGAUCGGCUAACUCCGUGCCAGCAGCCGCGGUAAUACGGAGGAUUCGAGCGUUAUCCGGAUUUAUUGGGUUUAAAGGGAGCGUAGAUGGAUGUUUAAGUCAGUUGUGAAAGUUUGCGGCUCAACCGUAAAAUUGCAGUUGAUACUGGAUAUCUUGAGUGCAGUUGAGGCAGGCGGAAUUCGUGGUGUAGCGGUGAAAUGCUUAGAUAUCACGAAGAACUCCGAUU